rnacentral:rRNA from 1 species
AAGAUGGAAUUAGUAGUGUAGGGGUAAAAUCCGUAGAGAUUACUAGGAAUACCGAAACGAAGCGAUCUUCUGGAACAGUACUGACGCUGAGAUGCGAAAGCGUGGGGAGCAAACAGGAUUAGAUACCCUGGUAGUCCACGCCCUAACGAUGAAUGUUAGUCGUUGGAGUGCUAGCCACCUUCAGUGAUGCAGCUUAACGCAUUAAACAUUCCGCCUGGGGAGUACGCCCGCAAGGUUAAAACUCAAAGGAAUAGACGGGGACCCGCACAAUUGUUGGAACCAUUUGUUUAAUUCGAAGAUACCGAAGAACCUUACCUGGCCUUGACAUAUACCAGAACCUGCCAGAGAUGUUGGGGUGCCUUCGGGAACUGGUAUACAGGUGCUGCACGGCUGUCGUCAGCUCGUGUCGUGAGAUGUUGGGUUAAGUCCCGCAACGAGCGCAACCCUCGUGACUAGUUACUAACAGCAUAGGCUGAGGACUCUAGUCAGACUGCCUUCGUAAGGAGGAGGAAGGUGGGGACGACGUCAAGUCAUCAUGGCCCUUACGCCAGGGCGACACACGUGCUACAAUGGGGAGGACAAUGAGAAGCGAAAUCGUGAGAUGGAGCAAAUCUAUAAACCUUCUCUCAGUUCGGAUUGUAGUCUGCAACUCGACUACAUGAAGCUGGAAUCACUAGUAAUCGUGAAUCAGCCAUGUCCGGUGAAUACGUUCCCGGGUCUUGUACUCCCGCCCGUCACCCAUGGGAGUUGAUUUCACCCGAAGCGGGGAUGCUAAAUAGGCUACCCGCCCGGUGGAAUUAGCGACUGGGGUGAAGUCGUAACAAGGUACCGUAGGAGAACCUGCGGUUG